UUAUCAGACUUGUUACAAGGUUGUUCUAACAAGUCUGAUACAAUCAUGAUAUAACAAGAAUGUUACAAGGUUGAUGACACAAGGUUGUAACAAUAUUGUUAUAUCAUGACUGUAUCGGACUUGUUGGAACAACCGCAACAAGUCUGAUAA